UACGUAGGGUGCGAGCGUUGUCCGGAAUUAUUGGGCGUAAAGGGCUCGUAGGCGGUUUGUCGCGUCGGGAGUGAAAACCUUGGGCUUAACUCAGGGCUUGCUUUCGAUACGGGCAGACUAGAGGUAUGCAGGGGAGAAUGGAAUUCCCGGUGUAGCGGUGAAAUGCGCAGAUAUCAGGAGGAACACCGGUGGCGAAGGCGGUGAUCUGGGCCGGUACUGACGCUGAGGAGCGAAAGCGUGGGGAGCGAACAGG
rnacentral:rRNA from 1 species